rnacentral:tRNA from 2 species
GUGGAUGUAGCUCAGCUGGCAGAGCGCCGCGUUGUGAUCGCGGAUGCCGCGGGUUCAAGCCCCGCCAUUCACCCCA